CCGUAUGCCAACAGCUGCAAUGCGUGGUAUAUCACCUCACCCUGGAUAUAACGUUCCUCUCUUUCAUGCUGCCUUGUCUGGGAAAAGGUCCACCUAAGAUAUUUAACUGCCCUUUUGAGGAUUACCAUAAAAACCACCAGAACAACUGGUAGAAGUAGAGUCUUCGUGUAUCGUAUUGGAGUCUCUUUUUCCAUGAAGUCAAACUCUGCAGCACAGGUAUACAUUAAUGUAUCAAAAUCCUUGUAGCCAAUAAAUUUAGCUUUUAAUAUAUUACCUAUAUGAGCAUCAUCGGCUACUCCAAAUGCUAAAGAUGUUAGGUAUUUCAAGGUGACUGUCCCAACUAACCAGGCACAUCCUUCAACGACCCACAGACACACUUGACUUCUG
rnacentral:lncRNA from 1 species